rnacentral:rRNA from 1 species
UGGCGGCAGGCCUAACACAUGCAAGUCGAGCGGUAGAGAGAAGCUUGCUUCUCUGAGAGCGGCGGACGGGUGAGUAAAGCCUAGGAAUCUGCCUGGUAGUGGGGGAUAACGUUCGGAAACGGACGCUAAUACCGCAUACGUCCUACGGGAGAAAGCAGGGGACCUUCGGGCCCUUGCGCUAUCAGAUGAGCCUAGGUCGGAUUAGCUAGUUGGUGAGGUAAUGGCUCACCAAGGCGACGAUCCGUAACUGGUCUGAGAGGAUGAUCAGUCACACUGGAACUGAGACACGGUCCAGACUCCUACGGGAGGCAGCAGUGGGGAAUAUUGGACAAUGGGCGAAAGCCUGAUCCAGCCAUGCCGCGUGUGUGAAGAAGGUCUUCGGAUUGUAAAGCACUUUAAGUUGGGAGGAAGGGCAUUAACCUAAUACGUUAGUGUUUUGACGUUACCGACAGAAUAAGCACCGGCUAACUCUGUGCCAGCAGCCGCGGUAAUACAGAGGGUGCAAGCGUUAAUCGGAAUUACUGGGCGUAAAGCGCGCGUAGGUGGUUUGUUAAGUUGGAUGUGAAAUCCCCGGGCUCAACCUGGGAACUGCAUUCAAAACUGACUGACUAGAGUGUGGUAGAGGGUGGUGGAAUUUCCUGUGUAGCGGUGAAAUGCGUAGAUAUAGGAAGGAACACCAGUGGCGAAGGCGACCACCUGGACCAACACUGACACUGAGGUGCGAAAGCGUGGGGAGCAAACAGGAUUAGAUACCCUGGUAGUCCACGCCGUAAACGAUGUCAACUAGCCGUUGGGAGCCUUGAGCUCUUAGUGGCGCAGCUAACG